rnacentral:rRNA from 1 species
UACGAAGGUGGCAAGCGUUGUUCGGAUUUACUGGGCGUAAAGGGAGCGUAGGUGGUUAGGUAAGCCCUCCGGGAAAUCUUCAGGCUUAACCUGAAAAGGUCGGGGGGGACUGCCUGGCUAGAGGACGGGAGAGGAGCGCGGAAUUCCCGGUGUAGCGGUGAAAUGCGUAGAGAUCGGGAGGAACACCAGUGGCGAGGCGGUUGCCUGGAGCUUUGCUGACGCUGAUGCGCGAAAGCGUGGGGAGCGAUCCGG